rnacentral:rRNA from 1 species
UGCAAGUCGAACGGAGAUAUAUAUUUAGUUUACUAGAAAUAUAUCUUAGUGGCGGACGGGUGAGUAACACGUGGGCAACCUGCCUUAGAGUGGGGGAUAACAGCGAGAAAUCGUUGCUAAUACCGCAUGAAAUUAGAGUUUUGCAUGAAACUUUAAUGAAAGGAGAAAUCCGCUAUAAGAUGGGCCCGCGCCUGAUUAGCUAGUUGGUGAGGUAACAGCUCACCAAGGCGACGAUCAGUAGCCGAUCUGAGAGGAUGACCGGCCACACUGGAACUGAGACACGGUCCAGACUCCUACGGGAGGCAGCAGUGGGGAAUAUUGCACAAUGGGGGAAACCCUGAUGCAGCAACGCCGCGUGGAGGAAGAAGGUUUUCGGAUUGUAAACUCCUGUCUUUUGGGACGAUAAUGACGGUACCAAAAGAGGAAGCCACGGCUAACUACGUGCCAGCAGCCGCGGUAAUACGUAGGUGGCGAGCGUUGUCCGGAAUUACUGGGCGUAAAGGGCGCGUAGGCGGCUAAUCAAGUCAGAUGUGAAAACCCUAGGCUUAACCUGGGGAUUGCAUUUGAAACUGACUAGCUCGAGUGUCGGAGAGGAAAGCGGAAUUCCUAGUGUAGCGGUGAAAUGCGUAGAUAUUAGGAGGAACACCAGUGGCGAAGGCGGCUUUCUGGACGAUAACUGACGCUGAGGCGCGAAAGCGUGGGGAGCAAACAGGAUUAGAUACCCUGGUAGUCCACGCCGUAAACGAUGGAUACUAGGUGUGGGAGGUAUCGAACCCUUCCGUGCCGCAGUAAACGCAAUAAGUAUCCCGCCUGGGGAGUACGGGCCGCAGGUUGAAACUCAAAGGAAUUGACGGGGGCCC